rnacentral:tRNA from 1 species
GGGCCGGUGGUGGAAUUGGUAGACACGUAGGAUUUAGGUUCCUAUGCCGUGAGGUGUGAAGGUUCAAGUCCUUUCCGGCCUACCA